AUAUUUUAGGUAAGGGAACAAACAUCCCUUCAUCUUUUUAUGAAUGUCCUCUGUCUGCGGCAUCUAGCCAUCACAAAUUUGGUGGCUUAAAAUAACAUAUUCUCUCACAGUUUGAACCUAAGAGUCUGAAAGACAGGUUGCCAGGAGGGCCAAGCUCCUUUAGGGACUCUGGGUGAGGAUCCAUUCUUUGCUUUUUCCAUAGCCGUCACUGUCACAAUGGAUGCCUCAUUCCAGCCUCUGCAGGCUUGGCCACCUCCUCUGUUUGUGUCUAAUCUUCCUCUUAUAAGGACAUUUGACAAUGGAUUUGGGGACCAUUUUGAUAAUCCCCCAAUGAGCCUUCCUAUCAUCUUAACUAAAUCAACCAAAAGUUAUUCUUGAUUUAAUUAUUUAAAAAGAGUUACUCUCCAGAGCAAGAUGCUGGCCCUAAGACCUGGAGGUUAGAACGUGGAGCCCUUAUUUAAUCCCAAACAACCCUUAAAGAGCUUAGAAUCCAGUGAGGUUAUUGAUAAAUCAGUAACAGGACCAUAGCAAGUUGUGAUAUGGGAGAGUAAAACAGGGCUUGGGGAAAAGAAGCACUCAAAGAUCCCCUCUGGUUGGCAGGAGAGAAAGCUUUCCUAUUGUGAGGAAGGCCAGGAGAACAGGAAGAGCCAGCUGGCUGUGUCCAGAGGAAUUCAGCUCUUCCAGUGUACUGCUUAUUAAAUUAUACUUUUGUCGGUAGAGGAUACUUCCAAUGAAUGGAGCACAGCACUCCUUACCAGGAGAUUAGGGAAGACACACUUUUCAUGGAUGUAGGUGACAUGGUUUUGCUAUCAUAAAGCAUACGUUAUUUUACUAGACCAUAGACUCCAUGGCUGCCAAAGAAAGGGAUCAUAAUUAUAUAAAUCGAAGAUUACAGUUUUUGGCUGGCUUCUCCUAUCUUUUAAUGGGUUUAUAGCUAAUAAGGGAACAGAUGUUACCCAUUGUAGGUAACUGGGUGUUUGCUUUGUAAUGAGUUUAACCUGGAGAGGCCACGGUGCAUUAGGCAUUCAACGAUGGUUUUAUCGAUGGUUUUCAUUUGGUUAAGAUUGAUUUAAAUUUUUUCUUAGCUCCCAAUUUUGCAGCCACAUCCAUGGCAUAUUGAUUAAUUACUCAUUGGCUCAUCACAGCAGACCUGAAAGUAUAGUCUGGGGAGCAUCUAGCUAACCUGGGGACCUCUGGUUUCCCUUUGGAUGGAGGUCAGUGACUUGGAGUCCACCUACCUAGCCUGUUUGGCUGUAUGGCCUGCACAAAGGACCUUUUGUUCCCACUCCCAACUUCAUCUAAUUGCUAGUUCUGUUUCUUUGCACUGAACGACAGCCUUGAAAAUCUGCAGUCCAGGUUCUGCUGGAGUUUUAUCUUAAUGAACUGUCACUCAGGUGCCCAUCAGGAACUCUGUCAAAAAGGUAAGGCUCAUGGAGGAUGGUCCAAAGGAUGUUGGGUGCCCACUGCACCAGAUCCUCAAGACUUUACCUUCUUUCAAAAGCAAGACAGAGGCUUGAGUACCAGGACCCUGGUGUGGGUCUGAGUGAGCAUAAUUACAUGGUGCUUAUGCUGAGGGAUAUCUGGGGGAGGCUCUCCUAAGAAUGUGGAGGAGGAUGCCAGUCCUUACGCAACGCUAUGACUUGUGGUGGUGGUGGCAGUGAUGUGGGGAGGACAGGAGGGCCUUGGAGAAGACAUUCCUCGGCUGAGUCAUCUCCAGGGGCUCACUGUGCUUUUCCAGGCCUCUGCUUAUAGACAUGGUGGUUUCUAAGUAGAGCUGACUCCGGCAGGUUUUCUCGGCAAAGGUAAGGAACUCCAUACAAACCAGCUCCACUCAUCUUGAGUCUCUUUUCUCUUUGACCUAUUUUUCAGCUAUGUUUUAUUUUAUGUUGAAACAGAUCAUGAUUAUUUUAUGAUAUAUCUGGAAGCUUAUCUAACAGAUAAUCUUGGAUUCUCUUUUAUCUAAAAGGUUUCAAAAACAUUUGAAAAGAUAACUACAUAGAGCUUAAAUCUGUAAUGAAAUAUAACUGUCCCUGGAUGAAUGGUUUUCCAAAUAAUACUUUCCUGGCCUAUUACCCCGAGCUUGUAAAUAGGUCUUCAUUUGGCAAACGACUCUGUGGAUGUAACUGAGUUAAGGCUCUUGAGACGAGAUUGGAUUAUGUAGAUAGGUCAUGAAUUUAAUGGCAAAUGUCUUGGAGGGGAAAGAUAGACAGGGAGGAGACACGUCCAGACAGAUGGGGGGGCAUGUCCAGACAGACAGGAGAGAUGUGUACACAUAGACAGGAGAGGAGAGAUGGAGAUAUGGAUAGAGGAGACAGGUACACACAGACAGGGGACAUGUACACACAGACAGGAGACAUGUACAUGCAGACAGACAGGAGACAGGUAUAUACAGACAGACAGGGGACAAGUACAUGCAGAUAAACAGGAGACAGGUAUAAACAGAGACAGACAGGAGAUAUGUACACAUGGAUAGAAGAGACAUGUCCACACAGGCAGGAGAGAAGACAGGUGCAUAUAGGGAUAGAAGAGGCAGAGCUGUGGCCCUGAGACCCGCUGUAGUGUUGGCCAGAGGGCAUGGGAUGCCAUCAGCCCCCAGAAGUCAGAUGAGGCAAAGACUAAAGUCUCCCUGGAGCUGCUGGAGGGGGCGUUCCUGGCUGGUACCCAGGCUGCGUCACUCCAGUGCUGCAGGGUGGCAAACUGCUGUUGUUUGAAGGCACCAUCAUCGACAGAGACAAUGGCAGCCUUCAUGUCAGUACCACACCUCAUUUCCUGUUGUUUGGGAGCUGCAGGGUGAUCCUGUAGUAGCUUCCAACAGGCUAGAAGUGUGACGUCUCGGGUACCCAGCUGGAACCGGGUGGACCAAGAAGAGUUCUCUGUAGGGGCUCCAGGUUAGGGAGGCAGAAACAUUUGUAGUAGGAACUCUGGCAUUUUUGUUUUCUCAUAGUAAACUGAACUAGGGGAUCUCCAUUCUUUGAUUCUGACCACUAUACAAAAUAAUAUUAUAUAUCAAAAUAAUGCUGUGGUUAUAACUAUAAACACAGAGCAUGCAUUUUUCUACAUAUUGCUUUGGUGCCAUGGAGUUGCAGUGAAGCUAUUUGUUUACUUUUAAAUAUUUAUUUAUUUGUUUAUUGUGGUUUUUCAAGACAGGAUUUUCUCUGUAUAACAGUCCUGGCUAUCCUGGAACUUGCUCUGUAGACCAGGUUGGCCUCGAACUCACAGAGACUUGCCUCUGCCUCCUGAGUGCUGUAUUUAUUUCUUUGAGUGGUGUGAUGGUUAAUAUUGAUAGGACCUAAGCUCACCUGAGAAACAAACCUCUGCACAAUUCAGUGAGGUCAUUUUUAGAUCAGGUGAGCUGAGGUGGGAAGGCCCACCUUAAAUGUGGGUGACAGGAUUCCAUGGGCUGGGGAGUCUCUACCUGAAUACAAAGGAGAAAGCAGGGUGAAUACCAGCAUUUUCUCUCAGCCUCCAGGCUGCACUUGUAAUAUGAACAGUUGCUUCAAGCUCCGGCUGCCAUGACUGCUCUGACAUAAAGGAUAGCACCCUCCAACUGCGAGCCAAGACAAGCCCUUCUUCCCUUCAAUCGCUGUGCUCCCGGCAGUGUUUGAAGCAGGUAAUGCAAAUAGUGGCUUUUCCCAGAGGUUCUUGGUUUCUGCAGUGUCCUAGCCUGAGGCCCGCACCUUUGAUUCUUUUUUUUUUUUUUUAAAAGAUUUAUUUAUUUAUUUAUUAUGUAUACAGUAUUCUCAGUAUUCUGUCCGCAUGUAUGCCUGCAGGCCAGAAGAGGGCACCAGAUCUCAUUACAGAUGGUUGUGAGCCACCAUGCGGUUGCUGGGAAUUGAACUCAGGACCUUUGGAAGAACAGGCAAUGUUCUUAACCAUUGAGCCAUCUCUCCAGCCCCCGUACCUUUGAUUCUUAUUGGAUAUUUUUGCCAGGGUUUCUAUGCAGAGACACCUGAAGCCAUAGGGGGAGUCUGGGUCAGUGGGAUAGUGACUUCAUAAGGAAGGGAAGGAGGAGGAGGAGAAGAGGAAGAAAAAGAGGAGGAGGAGGAGGAGGAAGAAGAAGAAGAAGAAGAGGAAGAGGAAGAGGAGGAGGAGGGGAGGAGGAGGAGGAGGACGAGGAGGAGGAGAAGGAGAAGAAGAAGAAGAAGAAGAAGAAGAAGAAGAAGAAGAAGAAGAAGAAGAAGAAGAAGAAGAAGAAGAAGAAGCAGCAGCAGCAGCAGCAGCAGCAGCAGCAGCAGCAGCAGCAGCAGCAAGGGGCCUCUGGCUCCUGCUGGAAUGUGAUUCUCAGGAAUAGGUGAAUACAGACCCACGUGAACAAUCAUGUGUGAAGGAACUGGUGUGAAACAACCGUGCUUCAGGUAGGAGGAUUUACACAUGAAGGAUUAGCCACUCAAGUUUCCAGAAUUGAUGAAAAAAAAAAAAUGGUUGAGGAGAAAGAUGGUUUGGGACUGGAAACAACGGCAUGACUUGUGGCUCUUCACUGAGGGUCUUCCUUUUGAUCCGUUUGGAAACAGAUAUGACAGCUUCCUUGAAUGGCCAUCAGUGGUACUCCCCUGCUUUAGUUCUUUGUUGAGGUGAAGGCAGUGAGAACCAGUGUACAAUGAGAAAGGAGCCUGGCCUGGCCUUCUGGACUAACUCACUCAGAAACCAUCUGCCUGUGGUUUCUGAUUCUGAGCAGCCUGAGGUCCCUGAAACCACCAAAAUAAUAGUUUUUCCCAAAUCAGCCCAGCCAGGCUCUAAUUAAGACGAAUGGAAAUGAAUACCCACGCCAGUUGCCCACCACAUGGAGGCUGUGGCUGGGGAGCGUUCCCAAAUCCUGGGAGACCAUUUCUCUCUCAGCCUGGCAUUGCUGAAAGAAUGCUCAGAUAAAGACCAAAGUCCUACUGACUCUGGGAGAAAGGCGAAUGGCCACCGUCUAUGACAGUGUGCCUGAACUCUGGGCACCCUGAAGGCUGAAUUGUUCGUGAGAAAUGGAUGCGGAGGAUGGUCUGGUGUAGCCGCGGGGUAAGCCAGAGAACUCUACAAGGGCACUGAGGAGGGGAAGGGAAAGAAGAGGUGCCCUUGCUCCUUGCACACUGCCGUGGGAGGAGGGAGUUAAUCCUUUGAAAAUCCUUAGCUAGACAGUUCUUAUUUCCAGCAGAGUCCUUUUUUUUUUUUUUUCUCCACUCCUGGCCUUUUCUCCCUGUUUUCGUCUGUCAGCCCUGUUUCUGGAUCUUCUCAGGACUUCCCCCAGAAAAACUUUGGCCAACUUGCUCCUCUUGAACAACUGUCACUUUUGAAAAACUGCCCAGUCUCUUUGCUGUGACUUCUAAAGAGAGACUUUGGGCCAGGGUUCCUUUCCGUGACAACAAGGAUGCUGGAGAGGGGAAUGGUAGAGAAACUUGGGAUAGGCACACAUGCGCACGCGCGUGCACACACACACACACACACACACACACACACACACACACACCCUUCUGAGAGAUGCUGAAUCUGUGAUCGCCGGCCAGUAUCCACAUCAGUGGAAGACACACGGGGAGAAAAGCGGAGAGCGGAGAACUCAUACUUGCGUUCCAGCUGCUCAGCUGCUGCAGUUUCUACACAAGGGCAGCCUGACCCUGUUUGACCUUGACCACCGAGACCAGAGGAUUAUAGAAGAAGAACUGACCAAAGAUAUGUGGGCAAAAGGCCAGGCCAAACUUUCCAGUUGUGACAUGUCUGUCUCAGGACAGACAUUCUCUGGCUGGGGAAGCUGUGGACUACAGAAGAAACUCCAAGAUCAGUCACUAAGAGUGUCAGGAUAGCCACGAAUGUGAACCCUUACCUCGGAUAAAGAACUCCUUCAGGUGGAGGGAAUACGGUUUCCGUCUCUAAGGUCAAAGUUCAACACAAUUAGGAGCAGCUGAACCUUUCGCAUCAUCAUCCAAGGACCUUGCUGGGGCAACUGUUACUUUCAGCGACACUCUGAAGACAGCAAGGCCACCAGCCCCCACUGGUCUCUUAUUGAAUGACCAACAUUUCUGGGUAGUCAAUUGCAUAUUGCACUGUAUCCUUGUUCAAAAGCAAGCUUGUAAAUCAAUUGCUCAACUUGGCGAGGCUGACUUUUGCUCCCCCCCCACCCCUCCAAAAAAAAAAACAUUCCCAUGGAAUUUCCUUCAAGGCCUAAGUAACACAGGGGAAUGAAUCUAAGAGACAGAAACGAGACUAGGCAGACAUGCAUCUACAUUCACAACAGCAAGCAACUUUGCCCAUAGCCUGUAAUCCUUAAAUCUUCUUUUGGUGUGUGGAUAAUUUUUCAAAGGGCAAGAUUUCCUAGUUCACUGAUUCAAGAUGCUCCCACACUAUUGAUGAAAUUAAGGUAAUAUUGAAAGUGACGGCUCUCGCGAAGCAAUCUUAAACUGCCUUUUUAUUGCAUGCAAUUAGCAGUAGAACCAAGCGCCACUUUCUAAUAUAAAAUCAUCAACCACAGAGGCUGCACACGGAAUUCACUGUCGUGAUCUCAGCCAGUAAGUUUCAACUUCUCCUCGUUUGCUGAAGUUCUCCCCCGCCCCCGCUCCAGUUUUAGCCCCGCAGAAUAAUGAGAAAACAGUUAAAUUGGGCUAGCAGCGAGUUUCAACGGAGAUUUAUGGUGUUCUCAUCUUCCCGAGGGACUAUAAAACCAUUCCUGACAUCUCAUUCUGAAAGCUCUGGUAUUAACAGAUGGGUGUGGCAUGGAAAGGGGACUCUGGAUUCAAGUGACAGACAAGUCCUGUACUUUGAAAAAGAGCCCUUAAUUCAUAAGAAAGCUUCCUGCCAUUAGCAGUGGGACCCCCCCCCCAGCAGUCCCUAAGUCCCUACCACGCCAUCUCCAACCCACUCCUGCAGAAACACUCUUAAAUUUACCAUAAAUAUUUUAAUAUUUCUCUCUAAAUUUUGCUUUCAGUUUACAAAAUUCGUAGCUCUCUCUCUCUCUCUCUCUCUCUCUCUCUCUCUCUCUCUCUCUCUUCCUCUCCCUCUCCAGAAGCCUCAGCCCAAAUCAACACGAUAAUAAAAGAUAACAAACUGCCUUCAAUUCAGAACACUGGCCAAAAACUGACAAGCCAAGUUCAAUGAGCAACAGGGAUUGCCCAUGUCGGAGAGCUGAGAGUUUAACUCUCCCUCCAGCUGACCUCCUUGGUUUCCAACCCUGGGCAGAGAGAGAAAGACGACUGGGUGGGGGUGGGGGAAGACGACGACAAGGUCUUUGGGGAUUUGGCAUAGCUUUGUGCAAAGCGCUCAGGUUUGACCAAAGAGCAGAGGUGCGUGCUGAAUUCGAGCCAGCUCUGCUCUGUUUGGAAACCUCAUUCUGGAAAGCAAAGGCCUGAGGGCAGCUGUCCACAUCAGGACGGAGAGAAACGCGCUUGAGAAGGCCCUGAAAUCAGGAAAGAGACUGGCAAGAGAACCCGAGAACUCAAGGGGAGUGGCUGGGAGCAUGUCUUCGCUGUUGCAAAGAAAUUAUUCACACACUGAGACCUUACUCCAGGGCUAACGUCUGAAGUCUGCAACAACUGGUGGGGGUCCAGAUGGGGAAAGAAGCCCAGUGCCAGGCUGUGAGGGCAGGGUGAAGUCCCCGCAGCCCAGGAAGGGAGUGGGCGUGGGUAGCCAGUGCAAGGGACUCAGACAAGGGAGCCCGGCGCCUGGGGUUCUCCGGCAGGGU